rnacentral:rRNA from 1 species
UACGUAGGGUGCAAGCGUUAAUCGGAAUUACUGGGCGUAAAGCGUGCGCAGGCGGUUAUGUAAGGAAGGGGUGAAAUCCCCGGGCUUAACCUGGGAACUGCAUUUGUGACUGCAUAGCUAGAGUACGGUAGAGGGGGAUGGAAUUCCGCGUGUAGCAGUGAAAUGCGUAGAUAUGCGGAGGAACACCGAUGGCGAAGGCAAUCCCCUGGACCUGUACUGACGCUCAUGCACGAAAGCGUGGGGAGCAAACGGG